rnacentral:tRNA from 1 species
ACUUUUAAAGGAUCACAGUUUAAUCCAUUAGUCUUAGGAACUAAAAUCCUUGGUGCAACUCCAAGUAGAAGUA